AGGAUAAACGCUGGCGGCGUGCCUAACACAUGCAAGUCGAACGUCCUACGCAAGUAGGGAGUGGCGGACGGGUGAGUAACACGUGGGCAAUCUACCUUUCGGUGAGGAAUACCGGCGAGAAAUCGCCGACAAUACCGCAUACGCUUCGCAAGAAGCAAAGUCGCAAGACGCCGGAGGAGGAGCCUGCGCCCGAUUAGCUGGUUGGUGGAGUAAUGGUCUACCAAGGCGACGAUCGGUAGCUGGUCUGAGAGGAUGAUCAGCCACACUGGGAUUGAGAACGGCCCAGACUCCUACGGGAGGCAGCAGUGAGGAAUUUUCCGCAAUGGGCGAAAGCCUGACGGAGCGACGCCGCGUGUGGGAAGAAGGCCUUCGGGUCGUAAACCACUGUCGAAGGGGACGAUAAUGACGGUACCCUUGGAGGAAGCCCCGGCUAACUACGUGCCAGCAGCCGC
rnacentral:rRNA from 1 species